rnacentral:rRNA from 1 species
GGGUUGUGAGGUUAAGCGACUAAGCGUACACGGUGGAUGCCCUGGCAGUCAGAGGCGAUGAAGGACGUGCUAAUCUGCGAUAAGCGUCGGUAAGGUGAUAUGAACCGUUAUAACCGGCGAUUUCCGAAUGGGGAAACCCAGUGUGAUUCGUCACACUAUCAUUAACUGAAUUCAUAGGUUAAUGAGGCGAACCGGGGGAACUGAAACAUCUAAGUACCCCGAGGAAAAGAAAUCAACCGAGAUUCCCCCAGUAGCGGCGAGCGAACGGGGAGCAGCCCAGAGCCUGAAUCAGUGUGUGUGUUAGUGGAAGCGUCUGGAAAGGCGCGCGAUACAGGGUGACAGCCCCGUACACAAAAAUGCACAUGCUGUGAGCUCGAUGAGUAGGGCGGGACACGUGGUAUCCUGUCUGAAUAUGGGGGGACCAUCCUCCAAGGCUAAAUACUCCUGACUGACCGAUAGUGAACCAGUACCGUGAGGGAAAGGCGAAAAGAACCCCGGCGAGGGGAGUGAAAAAGAACCUGAAACCGUGUACGUACAAGCAGUGGGAGCACAGAGCAAUCUGUGUGACUGCGUACCUUUUGUAUAAUGGGUCAGCGACUUAUAUUCUGUAGCAAGGUUAACCGAAUAGGGGAGCCGAAGGGAAACCGAGUCUUAACUGGGCGUUAAGUUGCAGGGUAUAGACCCGAAACCCGGUGAUCUAGCCAUGGGCAGGUUGAAGGUUGGGUAACACUAACUGGAGGACCGAACCGACUAAUGUUGAAAAAUUAGCGGAUGACUUGUGGCUGGGGGUGAAAGGCCAAUCAAACCGGGAGAUAGCUGGUUCUCCCCGAAAGCUAUUUAGGUAGCGCCUCGUGAAUUCAUCUCCGGGGGUAGAGCACUGUUUCGGCAAGGGGGUCAUCCCGACUUACCAACCCGAUGCAAACUGCGAAUACCGGAGAAUGUUAUCACGGGAGACACACGGCGGGUGCUAACGUCCGUCGUGAAGAGGGAAACAACCCAGACCGCCAGCUAAGGUCCCAAAGUCAUGGUUAAGUGGGAAACGAUGUGGGAAGGCCCAGACAGCCAGGAUGUUGGCUUAGAAGCAGCCAUCAUUUAAAGAAAGCGUAAUAGCUCACUGGUCGAGUCGGCCUGCGCGGAAGAUGUAACGGGGCUAAACCAUGCACCGAAGCUGC